CCUCCUCCUUCGGCCACCUCGCCCCACCAGCUUCCAGCGACGUGGAUCCGCCGAGGAUGGAGGGCAGCAAGUGAGAGGGAGCAGGAGAAGAGGUGAAUCGAGGGAGUGAAAGAAGGAUCUCACAGGGGAAGAGGAAGAAGGAGUCUAGCGGUGUAUCCUCGUCUCAUCCCUGGCUGCACCUCUUCUGAUGCCAUGGCACCAGUGGUGGCUCCUCGAUGGAGCACCUCCUUCCAUGACGGCACCACCAGCGGCUCUUGCUCGACGCCACGAUACACAACAUCGAGGCCACCCCUGAUGCUCAGGCUGAUGCUUCUUCGCUUGAUGCUGAAGAAAAGGAUGAUCAGAUUCAGACGCCCAAGAACAACAGGAUAUGAGUAGCAUUACUCAAAAUUUUGCUUUGAGAAGAAUCUAAUGAUGUAUCCAAUUUCACAUCCAAGCUACUAUGAAUAUUAUGAUUGAGCGACUGCUUGGCGAUGUCAUCGUCAGAGGCUCAGGCCUCCUCCCUGGACAAGGCACUCGUGCUAGGCGGAGGCGAUCUGUGCGCCGGUUCAAGAGGCGGUAAGACGGUCGCAAGAAUGCCAAGCUCUUCAGCUGUGGCAUCAUGCAAUAAUGGAAUUGAGCAUUCUGGGCAAAACAUAAAGGACAACGAAUAUGCAAGGGUAGUGGUACUCUCUCUGCUGUGGCUGCGUGUUCGACCGGCCAGCCAAGGAUCUCCAGCAAGCAUGUGCUCCUACUCUCCUUGCCCUUAAUUCCUGCCACAACAGCAGCUCCUGUGUAGUGUGAGCCAGAGAACUACUACACUAAUCAUGUUCCUGGCCUAGCAUGUGACAGUGGUGCCGCGAGGAUUUGCUGCCGUGGGAGGAGGGGCCCGACCCAGAUGGCGGCCACCAGUAGGUCACACACUUAUUCAGCUCGCCGUCUGGUUACUCUGAUGGCUUCUCUAAGGCGCUCGCAGAGGAGGCCAAGGGAUACAUGAUACUGUGUUUGGCUAAGGAGUCCGCAUUGAACGCCACAUAUCCGAUGCCAACACACCGAGGUUAUACUCCAAUCAAACAUGUGAAUAUUUACUUCAAGAUCGAUCCGACGAAAGCCGUCCACUGCCGCUCUGCUGUUGGGACUAAUUUGGACGGGAAUGGUGAUUUCAUGGUGAUUAUGAUUACUUGGUUGUUGCUCUUGGAGUUACUGUGAAUACAUUCAACACUCCUGGUGUGAUGGGGCAUUGCCACUUUCUGAAGGUCGUGGAGGAUGCCCGAAAGAUUCGGAAGAGCGUGAUAGACUGCUUUGAAAAGGCGUCACCUCCUAACCUCAGUGAAGAGGAGAGAAGGAAGAUCCUUCACUUUGUGAUUAUCGGUGGUGGACCUACUGGGGUUGAAUUUGCGGUGGAGUUGCAUGAUUUUCUUGUCGAAGAUCUGGUGAAGCUAUAUCCUGCAAUUGAAGAAUUUGUGAAGAUAACAAUUAUGCAAUCAGGAGAACAUAUAAUGAGGGUUGAAUGUUCCUGCAGUAAUAACCUUAGUUUUGGGCAAG